rnacentral:rRNA from 1 species
AUAAACAGAUAUAACACCCUGCAGCCCAAGACCAGUUACUCACUGAAGUUAAGCAGGGCUGAGCCUGGUCAGUACCUGUAGGGGAAAACUACCACAUGGGAAAACUAGGUUGCUGUUGGUA